GUACAGGACCUCCCCCCUACCACCUACCUACAUACCUCUGCGCGUCAAAACAUCGUAGUAAACAAAUACGAGGCUUCUUCCCCCACUAUUCACAUUCCAUGGCGCCUCAAAAUAUAGUUGUAAUAGGCAAACAUGUGUUGUCUUUGUCAGGCGGUCGAGACGGAAAGAUCGCGGUCGCGAUUUCUUUGAUUAUCACGGUCAGGCAAAAAUAGGCUAACACGUCUCUUAGAAUAUUUCUAAUACUAUAUUUAAUUAUUUGUAUGGAACUGCGUAUACGUAUUCGUUUAAAAGAUACCGAGCACGCGACUCGACAAUUUGAAACGUCAAUCUUGACCGUAAUCAGUGGAACGUCCGCUUAACCCGGAUGUUAAGAAGGAAAACGAGAGAAUUAAACGAGCAAGAGGAUCUCUCCUUUCGUCUUUGCUUUAGGAAGACGAUCGCGGGAGUGACGUACGAAUAAGUGGAAACUGCAAUUUCGCGGAGCUCGUUUCUCCGUUUAAACGAUCCGUAAACUUGCUCCGCGCAUCAUUGCGAGUGAUCUCUCAACCGCGAAUGCCUCUAUUUUAUUUCAAUCGAUCUCACGGAAGAGGAAAAAUACAUGACACGCUUUUAUUAUCGACGCGAAAUCAAGACAGGAAUAAGAUAAAAAUCGUGUUUCCCGGCGAACGACGCCUUUCGCGCAAUACAGUACACAAAUAUCUAUAUAUCUAAAUAAUUUUACAAACAUUAAAAUAUACGUAGUGAAAAAAAUUCAAUUUUUCGAUAUAUCGCACUUCAUCACGCGAUUCGAUAAAUUAGAGAGAUGAUUUAAUAUUAAUGGUUGACCAACAGUUGGAUAUAUCGUAAACACAAUUGUAAAUUUAAAUCAUACGUAUAUCGCGAAUAGCAUAUGAAAUGAAUUGACCAAUAUUUAUAUCGAAAACAUUCCCUUCUUUUUUAUAAAAAAAAAAUAACAGUCGAUUAUUUUUAGUUGUGCGAACGAUCAACAAAGCAACGAUAAUCUCGUAUAUUUUGAAUAAUUCUCUUUAAUUUUAAUUCGUAUUUAUUCACACAUCUGUAUUAUAAUACGAGAUAAUAAUCAUUUUAAAACAAGAGUGUAUACUAUUUAUUAAAAAUGCGGAAAGACAACAAAAAUAGCAGCUAAAACGACAAUAGUAAUAUAAUAUCGUCACGUGCUGGGGUGAAGUGUCAAGUUGGUCGCGCGAUUAACGUCGCUUCUUGCAAUCGUGCUCCUUUUCGACAUAAUGUAAUAAAGUGCGCGUCGCGUAUGUAUAAAGUCGGGAGUGCCAUACAAAUGUGCCGCGCGAUCGUGUUCUCGCGAGUGAGUGCGAAUAUUGCGCGAGUGCUAAGAGGGAUUUGCAACAGAGGAACAAGAAAGGAGGAGGCCAGCCAAGGUGGCAUCAGGCAACGGCGGAGCAACCUACAGAUUAACAUCUUAUACAACUCCCCUGCUGCGCAUCUGUAUCGCUAUUCGAAAUUAAACGGACUAUCACGAUUAGCUUUUAUUCGCCAUCGACAAAAAUGAUGUCGUUCAGCCAAACGACUCGAUCGGGAAUAGAACUGACAUCAGCUAGCAAUUUCUUGAGGACGACUAUUAGAGUAUGGCAUGGCGGAUUAUUUCGCCACGUUUUGUAAUCGCAUUAAUGUUUAAACCGUCGGUACGUUUAUACACUUUUGCACAAAUGUGCAUCGCGUUUUAUUUAAUUAAGGUUAAAACGCGAGCGUCUUUGUUCGUCGACGCGUUGCGGGAAGCGAGCGCCGUUAAAAUAAAGUUAAGUGAGCGAUUAUGCUCUUUACGGUAUGUAAUAAGCUCAAACUGACAACUUCCUGGCCGUGGAAUCAGUGAAAAUAGAGAAAAUCUUUAACGUGCCGAGAAAAUAUAGUGUCGUGUAAAAAAACACUAUCGCAAACCGGCUCGAUAACCGGUAUGUAUGCAUUUUUCAAAUUCCAUCUAUUUUUAUUGUAAUCUUAAAAAGCUUAUACAAGAAGCUCUUGAUUGAAUCAAUAUCACGGAUCUGCAUAUGUAUGUAACAUUAGAUUUUUUUAAAUUGUCGAGAAGGAUUAUUCUUUAUAACUAUAGAAGAUUAAAUAUAUAUAACUCAGACUUUUUUUCUAAAAUAAUAUGCAAAUACGUUUGUUUGCCAUAAUAAAGUUUAUUGUUGCGCGCGUACUGCGUUGAUGUUCGAUCGCGCGACAAUUUAAUCUCGUUAUUGCGUUAUCCCACAGGAUGAUAUGUGCGUGCAAGCCGGUGCACAGUGCCUACUUAAUAAACCUACUUAAAUUGCGAGGAUUUCCGCUUUUAUCCAGAUAGUAGUAUUCCGUUCUUGUAUUUCGCGUCCCUACUCAUGUUUCGAGAAACGACCUGUGAAUUCUUAAAAACUUCGACGGUUCUACUAUUCGUCGCUAAGUCUAUUAAGGAUAAGCGGAUAAGCUUUGGGAGUGUCCGACUUCAAGUCCUCGAGAUCGAUAUCAUUUUCCGCACUUUAGCAUAAUUUAUUAACGCUUAAAUGCAAAAUGAUGAUUUAACGGUACUCCUUAAUCUUUUAUCCAUAAAAUAGGUUGAUUUAGAAGACCGGUUUGCAUCCUUUAGAGAUGAGAGAAAAGCCAAGUCAAGUUAAUAAAUAUGAUUUAAAUCUCGAAUUAAAUCAUUUCUCAGACAGAUCUUAUCACAGAGUACAUAAAACUCAUCUUGUACAGAUUAGUUAUUUAGUCUAAUGAUUUCAUAGCAAGUAAGAGAACGAAUAAAUUGUAACGUCUUGUUUUAGUAUACUGCCUCUCUUACAGCAUAAAAACUGCUGAGAAUAAAGUAAGCGGACAAGAGUGAUAUAAUGUCCAUUAAACUUGGCAGCAGGACGCAGGAAUGUAAUCAACGCUCUAUUGUCUCCCGACUUUAUUAACAGGGAAGGCAUUGGCUAUUUGAUAACAUACGUAGGUAUUUCACUUUGUACCGAUGGGGAAAAUUCCCGCGUGUCGCAAGUAAUUAAAAUUAACAGUGUACAUGUACAGAGUACACUGAGACAAUUAGGGCCAGGAAUGCGGCAGCUAUCGAGGAAUCGAUAAGUGUGUAUCCCUGUACUUAGAUACAGUCACUCCAGAUAAAUCUAUAAACCGCUUCAUGGCUGUCCGAAGCGUCCUAUCUUCUCGCUCUUCCGUAAUGUAUUUAAUUAAUAUAAUUGCAGCAUUCUAUUUAUCACGUCACCGAAGGCGUGCCGGAAUGCACUGUCGUAUCCCGCAAUGAAAUUAUGAUUUCCGUGACACGCUCGGAGCAAUAAACUUACUCGGAAUCCUACAGUUACAUUGAGGCAGAACGCGUUUUAUUCUGCGGCGCGCGAUAAAUCUGCCGAGUAAAAAAAAAAAGAAAAAGACGGGAGAAAAAAGCGUAAAAUCGCAAAAGAGCGAACGAUCCGCAAAUGUCGCGCGAACAUCGCGCAUUCAGUCGAGAUGAAAGACCGUAAAAUUUGAUGCGAUGCUUUUUACUCGGCGACCACACAGUCGAGCUCGUAGACUAAUUACGAGGAUUAUUUCCACGCGUGCGAAGUAAUAUGCCUUGUAAUUCACCUUAGAGAGAGAUUGCAGGCUCGUGCGCGAUUAAAUGCCGCGAUUCAAUCCCUUUCGCGACGUUGAACCAUCAAAGGAUGCGCGAGAUUGUAUGGUUUUGCUUUUUUUAUUAGAACAAUUCGCGAAUUGAAAAUUCUCUUCAUUUUUUUAAACGUAUUUCAUAUCUAAAUGGAAAAAAAUUGUUGUGGUAUCUGUCUGGUUUAUAACGCACUGUAAUGUUUGUCAUAAAAUUUCGUAAUAGCUGCUAGCAUCGUGAGUUAAUAAAGUUUCAUUUCGUUGUAUACGACACACGCUGACUACACAAGUUUAACAUUAACGUCUUCUAUAUCUCUCCAGUUUCUCUUUCUUCGUGAUAGUAUAAAAAACUGAUA